UCACCUUUAUUAUGACUGUAGAAGACCUGGAGGCGGGUGCGCGCAAUCUGUAUCACCACGCGCGGUGAUAUUUCUCAGGGACUGCGGCGGUGGCGAGCACUGAAUUCCUCUCACGCAAAGCCCACGGAUGUUGACUUAACACUCUCUCUAGCCUUCUUUUACUCCUGAUAGUCUCUCUGUUGGACGGUCGAUAAGCGUUCGCAUAAUUAAAGAUUUUUCCUCUAAUUAUGCGAACGAGAACAACUUUUGCUCGUAUCUUUUGAGACUGCCGCUCGACGAGAAUUUAAUCAUAUUCUGUGUGAACGACGGUUGACCAUCAUCAUGUUGUUAAAUGCUACGGGAUGUGUACCGGUUUGCCGUGUGGGAAUGAGUGGCAUAUUUUAGGUCAUUUGCGCCAUGGAGCCAAAUCUGAAGCGAUAAUGUUAUUUGUGCUGUAAUAGUGCUCGGACCACAGGUAAAAGUGUUUGUGGAGUGGAGGCUGACAGACUGAAGCUGCGCGGUUACCGCAGGGAUUAAACGCGAGCGGAAUCAAGAGCGCGCAGCUGAUAUGGGUUCUGUUGUAUGUGACAAGAGAUUAGCGGGCCUCAUCUUUCUCCAAGCCUCCUCCCUCUUGCUGUUGGGUUCUGGUGAAAGGAUGUGCCCUUAUAGCUGCAGCUGCGAGGGAAAGAUCGUCCAUUGUGAGUCAGCUGGCUUCCAGGACAUCCCAGAAAAUAUUUCUAUCAGUUGCCAAGGUCUCUCCCUGCGCUACAAUGACCUGCACACAAUGCUCCCCUAUCAGUUUGCCCAUCUUAACCAGCUUCUCUGGCUGUACCUGGACCACAAUCAAAUCGCAUUUGUGGAUAGCCGUGCUUUUCAGGGGCUGCGACGGUUGAAGGAAUUGAUCUUGAGCUCUAAUAGGAUAUCACAGCUUCAUAACAUCACUUUUCACGGAGCACCUAACCUCCGAAGUCUUGAUCUCUCUUAUAACAAGUUGCAGGAGCUGCAGCCAGGCCAGUUUUUUGGUCUUCGAAAACUGCAAAAUCUGCACUUGCGUUCCAACGGGCUCACUACGAUACCGGUCCGGGCCUUUUUAGAGUGCAGGAGCUUGGAGUUUCUGGACUUGGGUUAUAAUCGGCUUCGUGUUGUCACUCGCACUGCGUUCUUGGGGUUAUCUCGACUCAUGGAGCUCCACCUGGAGCACAACCAGUUUUCGCGAAUCAAUUUCUUUCUCUUUCCUCGUCUUGUUAAUCUUCGUGCCCUUUAUCUACAAUGGAACCGCAUUCGAGCUGUUAAUCAAGGCCUUCCGUGGAGCUGGUACACCUUGCAGAAACUUGACGUCUCUGGCAAUGAGAUACAGACACUAGAUCCUGUAGUAUUUCAGUGCCUACCUAAUCUUCAGGUUCUCAACUUGGAGUCUAACAAACUGGCUAAUGUGUCUCAGCAAGUUGUGGCCGCCUGGAUUUCCCUAACCACUAUUAGCCUUGCAGGUAACAUGUGGGAUUGUGGACCUGGCAUUUGUCCUCUCGUCGUCUGGCUCAAGAAUUUUAGAGGCACUAAGGACACUAGUAUAAUCUGCAGCAGUCCCAAGCAACUUCAAGGGGAAAAGGUCAUGGAGGCUACAAAAAACUACAUUGACUGUGAUGAUUAUGAAAUCACUGCUCAAUCACCACUGUAUCUCCAAACCUUUGAGCCAAGUUUUGAACUUACCUAUGAACCAGAUGAACCAACAAUGGAUCCUUCAACAUCCCCUCCACCCCUGCCGUCACCUGCCUCCGAGGCACCCAUACUUCCUCAACUCCCCACCUUUCCCAGCCGUACAAAUACACAUCCCAGAGACCCCCACUGGACAUCCUCAUCUUCCAAUAGCUUAUUAGUGACACCAGCUCCUGAUCAGGACGUGUCUUUCCACAAAGUGGUGAUGGGAGGUGUUGCCCUGUUCCUGUCGGUGUCAGUUGUGUUGUCAGUCAUUUACAUCUCCUGGAAACGUUACCCCGGUGCCACCCGGCUAUUGCAGCAGAGUUCAGUUGUGGGUCGAAAGCGGAGGAAAAAGAGUCAGGAGCCAGAACAGAACCUGAGCUCCCAGCUCCAGGAAUAUUACAUGAGCUACAACCCUGCAGCCACACCAGAAGCCAUGGAGGUGCUGGGCAAUGGGACAGGUACCUGCACCUGCACCAUAUCCGGCUCCAGGGAAUGUGAGGUAUGACAUGUGAAAGGCAGCCUAAAAUCAAAUCAGAUCAAAACAAAUGAACGGCUCAGGACAUAGAGAAUGAAUACACCUGUCCUAGACCAUUACCAGGGACUUGGAUCGGAGACUUGCCCACCAUACACUAAAGGGAACGUUUUGUUCAGCACGAAAUAAUCCACCUUUUUACCUACCGACGUUUUAUCAAUCACAUCAACUUUUGCUCCCAUAAUGCCACUCACGCUUUUACUGCUUUGAGAUCUGGAUAUAAUCGAAUCGGAAAUCCGAAAAGGAUUCACUACAGCCGGACGAUUCUUCGGAUGCAUAUUUUAUUAAAAGGAUGUUUCGUUUAUUUGGAUGGCCCACUUUGUACUUUAAUUCACAGAGACUGAAACUGUGAUGAGGACUUCAGAUGGGCCAUAUGAAACAGGGUCAUAUUGCUUGAUUGAAGAGCAGUGGAUCAUACCAAUGAAAGUUAUCCAGCCUUUGAUUAACUACCCAGCGCCAAUAAACUGAACUUUACAUAAACUGUGCGACGAAUCCACAGUCUUUGUUGAUAGACCCUCAGAUUAAAACCCAUCCUUUGUUAUUUAAUGUAAAUUUGUGUAUCAGAAUAACUCAUAAUAAAAAACGACUUUGAUUUCAAACUGCUGUCUAAUACUGGAUUUGCUUGACUUUUGCAAAUCUCUGUACAGUUUUGUUUAAGUAGCGUUUACAUGCCGUUUAUAACACUAAUACACUUUGUUCUGUUAUGCAGACUUCUUCAGACAUGGACUAUGAACUCGAACUAUGCCAACAUUGACGUAUAUAAUGACAUUUUAUUGGACUGUGUUUAAACAUUGGGAUGUUUGUAAGCUACGCAAAUGUGUGUGUGUGUGUAACUAUCAAGGUUUAAAAUAUGGAUAAGACAUUUUAAAUGCCAGUGUGAAGUGUGUAUUUUUAUUACAAUUUUAAAAUGCUGUAUUUUCUCAAGAAGUGAGAAAAGGUUAACUUCCCCGACAAUGAAAAACCAUUAAUUUCUCUCAUAAUUUACUCAACCUUAUGCCAUCCUAGAUUUAUAAGACUUAAUUUCUUUUUCAAUAACAAAUGUUUGGCGACUUCUUGUUACUGUGUUUUGUCACGAGACACAAAAAACCAUAGACUUUAAAAAAAGAUGGACGACGCCUGUUCGCUCCCUUCCAUUGGUGAACAGUGAAGCCGCCAUUGUCCCGCACUGCGCUGACAUCUUGGGUCUUGAGUCUGCGCAAUAGCGAUUUCGGGACCAGUCAUGCGCAGUAGUGAGCAGGAAGUACAGCAGCGAAAUCAAAACCCCGCCCUCACUCUCGCAGAAUGCGCAUAUCACAGCUGUCAAUCAUGACGUGACACCACCGUUUUUAUAUCAUUAAAUAACUAACUAAACACAAAGUUAUUUUAAAAACAAACAUAUGAAUUUACAUCAGUGUGAUAAAAACUACAAUAAAUGACAGAAACCAGGUUCAGAAAAAAGAUCAUUGAAGUGUAAUUAAUUUUUUUAGUUGGUCUCAAGUCCCAUUGAAUAACAUGGGGAGGCGGGGUUUAUGACCUAUACUGGGACCAGUCACUGGGGGGCGAUCGAGACGUUUUGGCUUCACUUUUCAUGGCUUGUGCGGCACGCUUGCAAAAAACAAUCAGAUUUAGCAUUGAAUAUUGGGGUGCCACCAUACCGCUUUUUUGUUUCUAUAAACUUUGCUAGCGUACAAACGUAUAACUUUGCUUCAGAACACAUUAACCCAUUUGGUCA